CCGCGUGCAGGAUGAAGGCCUUCGGGUUGUAAACUGCUUUUGUACGGAACGGAAACGGUCUUUUCUAAUACAGAAGGCUAAUGACGGUACCGUAAGAAUAAGCACCGGCUANCUACGUGCCAGCAGCCGCGGUAAUACGUAGGGUGCAAGCGUUAAUCGGAAUUACUGGGCGUAAAGCGUGCGCAGGCGGUUAUGUAAGACAGUUGUGAAAUCCCCGGGCUCAACCUGGGAACUGCAUCUGUGACUGCAUAGCUAGAGUACGGUAGAGGGGGAUGGAAUUCCGCGUGUAGCAGUGAAAUGCGUAGAUAUGCGGAGGAACACCGAUGGCGAAGGCAAUCCCCUGGA
rnacentral:rRNA from 1 species